UGGCUCAGAUUGAACGCUGGCGGCAGGCCUAACACAUGCAAGUCGAGCGGAAACGAGUUAUCUGAACCUUCGGGGAACGAUAACGGCGUCGAGCGGCGGACGGGUGAGUAAUGCCUAGGAAAUUGCCCUGAUGUGGGGGAUAACCAUUGGAAACGAUGGCUAAUACCGCAUGAUGCCUACGGGCCAAAGAGGGGGACCUUCGGGCCUCUCGCGUCAGGAUAUGCCUAGGUGGGAUUAGCUAGUUGGUGAGGUA
rnacentral:rRNA from 1 species